CGUAUAGCGGAUACGCGGUGUGUGAAAGGUGUGUUUUGUGUUGAGGCGGAUGAGCGCUUCAUAAAGUUAUUAGACAGUGUCGAACAUCGUUACUUGUACAGCAGCCUUCAGUGUAACAUACACAACGCAAAUAUCGUCUCUGAAUUCCAACACAAGAACAGAACUACAAUUAAUAUACUGGACCACCAAGGCUGAUCACAAGAAAGAAUGACGAACUCCAUUAUUCACCACGUGGGCCUUAAUGACGUCAUCGUAGUGUUUCUAUUAAUAGCCGCCACCUCCAUUCCAUUUACCCAAUCACAGCAGGUUGCCAGAAACAUCGUCGAUAACCAGGAGCAAUUCGAGGAUCUCAUCAAUUAUUUAUCGUCUCUAAGACAAAUAUUAGGACCAGGUUUUGAUCUCGAAGAUUAUAUAGAUGCAGAUCUACUGGAGAGUUACAGACGACAGUGUCUAUCAACAAAUGGGUGUCAAAAGGUACCCCAAGCUCGUCCCAGGGGCGGAAAGGAUGCGUUUUCGUUUUUAAGGAUAGGACGGAGCACUGAUAAUAUCAGAAAGAUGGCGGAUUCUGAUGCAGAGGUACAUACUCAAAAGCGUAGAAGCUUUUACAGAAUUGGAAAAUUACCGUCGUCAGCUUUUAUGAAAAUGGCGUUUAGACCCUUCGUUUCUCCCGGUAAAAGUCGAAUUACAAAAUCAACUGUGAUCAGAAUUGGUUGAUUCCGUGGUGAAACUGUCAAAUGGUUUCCAUAUGAACAGUGUAUAAUGGAUGGGGUGAGAAAAUGCAACUUUUUGUUUUAUUGUCAUGACGUUUAAUUUGAUGGAAGUGAAACUACUGUGAAAAGAUUAAAUAAUGCGACUUGUUCCUGACACGUGGGAUGAUAAAUUGUGAUUAUUUCAUGUUUAUUAUUUCUAGGAUGUUUUAUUAGAUGUGGAGUUAAACACCAUUUUCUGUGGAUUUGAGUUAUUUAAUUAUUAUUGAACAGAACGGUUCUAAGAUUUAUUACUUAGUGUUUACAUACAUCUAUUAUAUUAUAUUAUGGUGUUACCAUUAAAUCAAAUUAAAUAUGAAAUGAAAUGGUGUUAAACGUCAAACUUUUCUGCUCCGACUGGGUUAAUGAAGACGGACAUACGUAAUGAAUGUGCUCUGAGAAAUAUUUUGCCUGGGCAGCGGCGCUAUGGCGUACUCGAGUUCCAACUGACAACGUAUCUUUUAUAUGCACGCCAAUGUGUACACGGGAUCUCGGGUUUUCGUCCUAUCCUAACGACUAUACGUUGUCCCAUGGAUGUCCUACAGGGGGGGGGGGGGGACACGCCGGAAAAUCCCGAUGAACUUUCUUGGCCAGCACUGGGAUCGAACACAGGACCUCCAGUUUAGAGGAGGGGGGUGGGGGUGGAUGGCUGAAUGGUUAGCGUGCGCGCGCUGUAUCAUAAAGUCUGUCAUUGAGUCGACUGGCGUGGUUUCGAAUCCCCGGUUGAACGUGGCAAGGAGUAGGGUCGCCUGUCCAACCUAGUGGGGUUUCUCCGGGUCCUCCGGUUUCCUCCCACUGCUAAAGACCCCUACGCGCAAGCGAAUUCUUGAAAUAAAAUUAAACCAUAUGUUAGUCCCGAAAUGACCUAGUUUGUGUCGAGUGGACGUUAAACCCCAUUUCUCUCUCUUUCUCUCCAGUUUAGAGAGACAACGUCUCACUCACUGAGCCACCGUGGCUCUGGCUCUGCAUCACGCAUAAGAACCAUCAGAUGAUAAACACAGCAUGUCUUCCCCAAUCUGUAAUUAAUUACGGUGCAGAUAACAAUAUGCCACUGGAUAACCUGUUCGAAAUGACGUCAGACUUGUUCCUACGUCACAGCACUGUUUGGAGAAAUAUCCCGUUUUCGCAGAUUGUCUCCCUUGGUUUGUUUCCAAUUUUAGAGAAGCCUGUGUCACUUAGGAUGACCCGCAAUGGCUCACAUGGAAGAUUUCUAUACAGCAAUAUGUUUGAAUCUAGUCUCGCGAUAGUCUAUUUGAGUAUUAGUCUAGUCAAAAUACUGAAAGAACCACCACAAAUUCCUUUAGGUCUUUUGGUACCAACUUGUAAAUGACCUUUCCCUUUACAUCAUACUGAAAAUCCACCGAAAUUCACCGGCGUGGUUGGUCCCCUCUUGUCACUGGUGCAGGACAGAGGGCCUUCGACAACGUAGACUCAUUCGGAAGAGACGUAAAAAAGUCCUUGGCAGUUGGAAUUGGAUAUAAGAGUAGGCCGUAGCACAGGUCCCGGACACAAUAUGACGUAUGCCUGUCUUCAUUAGCCCAGUCGGGCAUUAAAACCCAUUUCAAUUACGUUUAACUCAAAGAAAUAUAUGUUUUAAUGUAAUAAACAUAAGAAAUGAAAAUAUUGCCCGCCACCAAGACAAAAAUCAACGAAUAUUAUUUAUAUAAUAUUGACACCCCACUCAUCUCUUGCACUACAACUACAACCACUAUCAGCAGAGCAACUGACAACACCACGACCGUCACCAUACUCAAAGAAAAUGAAAUUUAAUUAAAUGAAUAUAAUUAAUUCACAUAUUCUAUUUUUAAAAAUAUUGUAAAGACCUGCACUAACAGUAGAAAUUUUAGUUUUCAGACAGUACAUCUUCUAAAAUCUCCAAAUAUUAACUUACAACUUGGGAAACGUGCUUUGUCCUAUGCUAGACCUUUUGUAUAGAAUAAACUACCAAAGCCAAUUAUUGUCAAAACAGUCGAGAGAUAGAGAGAAGAGAGAGAGAAAGAUAAAUGAAAUUUUACGCCCACUCGACACAAACUAUAAUUCGCUUGUACAUAAGGUCUUUAGAUUUGGGAGGAAACCAGAGAACGAGGUUAGAUGGCCACCCCAUUCCUUGUCACGUACGAGCGGGGAAUCGAAACCACGCCACUUGACUCAAUGACAGAACUUAUGAUCUAAAAUGCAUGCGUUAACAAUGCCCCCCCCCCACCUUCCUCCCUCUUACCCAAAGAAUAAUAAAAUUAAAUAAAUACUA